UACGGGGGGAGCAAGCGUUGUUCGGAUUUACUGGGCGUAAAGGGCGCGUAGGCGGUCGUGACAAGUCACUUGUGAAAUCUCCGGGCUUAACUCGGAACGGUCAAGUGAUACUGUCGGACUAGAGUACAGAAGGGGCAACUGGAAUUCUCGGUGUAGCGGUGAAAUGCGUAGAUAUCGAGAGGAACAUCGGUGGCGAAGGCGGCCUUCUGGACGAUGACUGACGCUGAGACGCGAAAGCGUGGGGAGCAAACAGG
rnacentral:rRNA from 1 species